rnacentral:rRNA from 1 species
GGUGAACGCUGGCGGCGUGCCUAACACAUGCAAGUCGAGCGGUGCAGUUUGAAGCUUCGGUGGAAAGCUGCAUAGCGGCGGACGGGUGAGGAAAACGUAGGAACGUGCCCCUUGGAGUUGGAUAGCCACGGGAAACUGUGGGUAAACCGACAUAGACUCGAGAGAGUAAAGGCCGAAAGGCGCCAAGGGAGCGGCCUGCGGCCCAUCAGGUAGUUGGUAGUGUAAAGGACUACCAAGCCGACGACGGGUAGCCGGUCUGAGAGGAUGGCCGGCCACAAGGGCACUGAGAGACGGGCCCUACUCCUACGGGAGGCAGCAGUGGGGGAUUUUGGACAAUGGGCGAAAGCCUGAUCCAGCGACGCCGCGUGGAGGACGAAGCCCUCGGGUGUAAACUCCUUUCUCAGGAAAAGGAUGAUGGUACCUGAGGAAUAAGCCCCGGCCUAACUACGUG